GGGGGGGGGGGCAAGCGUUGUUCGGAAUUACUGGGCGUAAAGGGCGCGUAGGCGGGUCCCGCAAGUCCUCCGUGAAAUCCCACAGCACAACUGUGGAACUGCGAGGGAAACUGCAGGACUUGAGUCCGGGAGAGGAGAGUGGAAUUCCCAGUGUAGCGGUGAAAUGCGUAGAUAUUGGGAGGAACACCGGUGGCGAAGGCGGCUCUCUGGACCGGUACUGACGCUGAGGCGCGAAAGCUAGGGGAGCAAACGGGAUUAGAUACCCCGGUAGUCCUAGCCUUAAACGAUGAGCACUUGGUGUGGCGGGUAUCGACCCCUGCCGUGCCGAAGCUAACGCAUUAAGUGCUCCGCCUGGGGAGUACGGUCGCAAGGCUG
rnacentral:rRNA from 1 species